UUUAUGAGACGGCAGCCGAGCAGCGGGGGCGCGAGGUGAGCAGUGUGAGGCUAGGUCUGUCGGCGACGGUCGUGAGCUUGCCUAGGUGGGCCGGCCGGCCGCCGCUGGUACCUCCUCCUCGACGUGCGCGACGAGGCGCUGGAGCUGCGCGAGUUCGUCGAGGGGCUGGGGCGGAGGUAGCUGGCCUACGCUCUAGCGCACCACUUCUACUACCCGGGCAGGCCGCGGCGACGGCGGCGGUGGGCCAGCUUCUAGUUCCUGUACUCGCGCCUCCACCACCUGUCGUUGGGGAUGUCGUCCGAGUACCGCGACGUCGCCUACCCCUAGCAGCUGUUGAUGCUCGCGUAGGCGCUGAUGAGGCAGCGGUAACACCCACAUCCACCGCAACCAUCACAGCGACGACUCUACGAGUGAUCUACACCUUAACCUGCGGAGAACAAUAUACUGAUACUGUGCCAACUCAACCGAUUGUACUUAUCCGACAAGAAGGCGGGUCUGGUCCAACCUUACUGGUUCUGACUACGACGACACGUCUGUGAAUCGCUUUAUUUAGGACUACAGCAUAACCUCUCAAUAAGUGACUUAUAGUGAUGUCACUUUCCUAAACUUUGUAAAAACCCUUCAGAGUUUCGGUCCUCGAGAUUACCCGCGUCGUGACCUCAACUAGAACAAAACUCGACACAACUAUUGAUACUUCGAGCAUACCAACAGUUAGUCCGAACGUUACUCGAAGCGGUUUGUACCUACCUUAGACCACACAGACUUCUACGACAAAGACCAGUAUAUGUCGAUAACCAAGGACCACUUUGACGUACGAAACGUACACGAGGAGGUAACCAACAUCGUAGUCCUCACCUGCUCGCAUGUGAAUUCGCUCUACCACAAACACGACGGAGAAACGGUUGAUGUUACCCGCAACAACGACCUGAGGACCAGGUCUUAAGAGACUUUAUAGACAACUUCAAACCUGUUCAAAGGGGAAUGAACCCUAUAUUAAGUGAAUUCCUAAAAAAGGGUUGUUACCUUUACUCUGGUUUAGGUGUUACAAGUUUGGGUCGUACAGAACUCUCUGUCUUUCUUAUAUACGUUAGUUUUGGACGAUCUCUACGUCGUCGUUUCCGAUUCUACCUUCGGCUUCGUAGGCGUCGUUAACUUAUGGGCCAAGUGUACCUAUUGCUCACCUUGUAAUCACAAGAACUACUAUCACUGUGUCGUUGCAGUUCGCAAGUUUCCCGACGUUGUCUGUAGGAAGGUCUUCCGGAACAGGCACUUGAAGGUCUACUUCUAUGGAUGCACCUUGGUGGACGACGUGGUCGGUCGACACCACGGUAGCUACUGCUAGAGCUCCUCGAGGUCGCCGUUGAGCUGCGGGAUUUGAGUAGAACUGGAGCGCGUCUAGACCGAGUUUGUCACGUAACCUUUUGGUUUGGUCUACGGUAACAAACGCAGGGAAGACUGUCUCAAUCGGUAAAGUCAACUAUAUCGGAGACGAACAAGAUUAGCUCGCCUCUUUACAAUCGACGUAAAAGAUCAGUACGUUAAAACCUAGCCCACUAAAUCUAAAAUUCUCCGCCCACAACUACUCUCAAGGCGAUAUCUGUCUCCAACUUAUCUUGAAUACUUGGCACUGUCGUAUAUGACAUUUUGGACAUGACUUGAAAGACAUUCUACACACGGAUGGCUGUUUUAGUAUCUAUGGCACAAAAUGGUUCUUACAUGUAGCGGG
rnacentral:rRNA from 1 species